GACGAACGCUGGCGGCGUGCUUAACACAUGCAAGUCGAACGGAAAGGCCCUGCUUUUGUGGGGUGCUCGAGUGGCGAACGGGUGAGUAACACGUGAGUAACCUGCCCUUGACUUUGGGGUAACUUCAGGAAACUGGGGCUAAUACCGGAUAGGAGCUCCUGCUGCAUGGUGGGGGUUGGAAAGUUUCGGCGGUUGGGGAUGGACUCGCGGCUUAUCAGCUUGUUGGUGGGGUAGUGGCUUACCAAGGCUUUGACGGGUAGCCGGCCUGAGAGGGUGACCGGCCACAUUGGGACUGAGAUACGGCCCAGACUCCUACGGGAGGCAGCAGUGGGGAAUAUUGCACAAUGGGCGGAAGCCUGAUGCAGCAACGCCGCGUGCGGGAUGACGGCCUUCGGGCUGUAAACCGCUUUCGCCUGUGACGAAGCGUGAGUGACGGUAAUGGGUAAAGAAGCACCGGCUAACUACGUG
rnacentral:rRNA from 1 species